rnacentral:rRNA from 1 species
GCAGGUUGAAGCGCGGGUAAGACCGCGUGGAGGACCGAACCCACCUGGGUUGAAAACCGGGGGGAUGACCUGGGGCUAGGGGUGAAAGGCCAAUCAAAUUCCGUGAUAGCUGGUUCUCUCCGAAAUGCAUUUAGGUGCAGCGUCGGUUGAUUGCAUCGCGGGGGUAGAGCUACUGGAUGCUUGCGGGCCCGUAUGGGGUACCAACAGCAGCCAAACUCCGAAUACCGUUGAUGUGUAUUCCGGCAGUGAGUCGGCGGGGGAUAAGCUCCGUCGUCGAGAGGGAGACAGCCCAGACCGUCGUCUAAGGUCCCGAAGCGUGUGCUAAGUGGGAAAGGAUGUGGAGUCGCAUAGACAGCCAGGAGGUUGGCUCAGAAGCAGCCAUCCUUGAAAGAGUGCGUAACAGCUCACUGGUCUAGUGGUUCCGCGCCGACAAUGUAGCGGGGCUCAAGCACACCACCGAAGACGCGGCAGCAAUCUUCAUGGUUGCUGGGUAGGAGAGCGUCCUGCGAGGGGCGAAGCGGCCGGGUAACCGUGCCGUGGACUUCGUGGGAGUGAGAAUGCAGACAUGAGUAGCGAGAGACGGGUGAGGAUCCCGUCCGCUGGAUGACCAAGGGUUCCGGGGCCACGUUCGUCGUCCCCGGGUGAGUCGGGUCCUAAGGCGAGGCCGACAGGCGUAGUCGAAUGGAUGAACGGGUGGAUAUUCCCGUACCGACCAUGGACCGGCAAAACCGAGACGGUGAGUACUAACCUCCGCCUCGUGGUGGUUCCUUCCUUCGGGUUGGUUCCGCCGCGUGGUGUUGGGAGCGUAGCCGUAGUAGGUCAGCGCAGGGGUGACACGGAAUGGGAGCCGGCCGCGGAGGUGGUUUUCCGUGGUCAAGCACGCAGCCCGUCCCAUAGGCAAAUCCGUGGGGCAUGCAGGGUGAGGUGCGAUGAUGGGCGCCUUUCAGGCGCGAUAUCCGGUGGUCCAGGCCGUCGAGAAAAGCCUCGGCGCGAGGGGCGUUGCCGCCCGUACCCCAAACCGACACUGGUGGUCAGGUAGAGAAUACCAAGGCGAUCGAGCGAAUCCUGGUCAAGGAACUCGGCAAAUCACUCCCGUGCCUUCGGUAUAAGGGAGACCCGCUGGGGUGAACCGGCUAGCCCGGGGAGCUUUGGUGGGUGGCACAGACCAGGGGGUAGCGACUGUUUACCAAAAACACAGGUGCAUGCGAAGGCGCAAGCCGCUGUAUAUGCACUGACGCCUGCCCGGUGCCGGAAGGUUAAGAGGAUCCGUCAGCCCUCGGGUGAAGCGGUGAAUUCAAGCCCCGGUAAACGGCGGUGGUAACUAUAACCAUCCUAAGGUAGCGAAAUUCCUUGUCGGGUAAGUUCCGACCUGCACGAAUGGCGUAACGA